rnacentral:rRNA from 1 species
UACAGAGGUCUCAAGCGUUGUUCGGAUUCAUUGGGCGUAAAGGGUGCGUAGGUGGCGUCGUAAGUGGGGUGUGAAAUCCCGGGGCUUAACCCCGGGACUGCAUUCCAUACUGCGGUGCUUGAGGACUGGGGAGGAGACUGGAAUUUACGGUGUAGCAGUGGAAUGCGUAGAGAUCGUAAGGAAGACCAGUGGCGAAGGCGGGUCUCUGGACAGUUCCUGACACUGAGGCACGAAGGCCAGGGGAGCAAACGGG